rnacentral:lncRNA from 1 species
UAGCGACAACGGAGGCUGGUGUAACCCCCCUCGUCAACAUUUUGAUAUGGCUCAACCUGCUUGGGAAAAGAUUGCCAUUUACAGAGGUGGCAUUGUCCCUGUAAUCUAUCAAAGGUAGAAUAAAGCUUUCAUUCAAUAAUAGUUUUGCUUGGAUUUAAGGUUCUUGCUUGAACAAUAACAAUACUAAAGAUGAGUCUAACAUCUAUACACGGACAGCUAUAAGAAUUUUUACACUAUCAAAUCACAUAUACAUGUAACCGUCCAUAAAAGUGGAAUAGUAACAUAUAAAAUCAGGCAUGUUAACAGCUAUAAAUAUGUGCACUUGACAGUUAUGUGCACUUGCACUUUCAAUGACUUAAAAGUUACAACUUAUUAGUUCAACUACGGACAUGAUUCUUGGCAGUUAUUAUAAAGUUAUUAAGGAAUUUGCUAAAUUGACAAAGUGUGCGUUUCUUGCUUUCUGGAGCAGGGUUCCUUGCAAGAAGCAUGGUGGAGUUAGAUUCACAAUCAAUGGAAGGGAUUAUUUUGAGCUAGUCUUGGUAAGCAAUGUAGGAGGGGCUGGAUCUGUUCGAUCUGUUCAAAUCAAAGGCUCAAGAACAAACUGGAUGACGAUGUCUAACAACUGGGGAGCCAAUUUUCAAUCCACUGCUUAUCUCAAUGGACAAUCCCUGUCCUUCAGGGUCACUGCAACAGAUGGUGUCACAAAAACAUUCCUAGACAUCGUUCCAGCCAAUUGGCGAUUUGGGCAGACAUUCUCAAGCCCCACUCAGUUCUCGUAAAGAAAAAGCUCAAGGAAGAGGAUUUUAGAGUUCUUUUGUUCAUAGGCAGUGGUGUGCUUAGAUAUUUUACCAGAAGCAGCCAUGCCCUCUUUUCUGUUUUUCUUUUUUGUUUUUUGCUUUAACAUAAGAAGAAAUGAUGGAAAUGUAUACUUCCAAUUAUUAACAUACCCUUGUCCACAGAAGAUUAAUGAUACUGUUUCUCUUUUUGUAGGUCUUUCAUUUUAUGCAUGGUUUUCUUUAUUUGUCUGGUGUAAAACAAAUUGUGCCAUUUUUACUUGCCCCUCAAAUUGAAUCUCAGACAACGAAAAUAUGGAAGGAAAUCAAAUCAAAAUGAAGCAAUUUGUGCUACUCAGCAAUGCACCAAAAUUAAAAUAGCGGACAAUAGUCUAAAGAGACAUACACUGAAGAACCUAUAAUUUGUGUUAAACUAAAGAUAAUUACCAUGGUAUGAUUUAAUGGGCGAUAUUGGCAAAAGAAAGAGUCUGCAUAGUUGGUGAUAUCUUUAAUGCAACAACACCAGAUAUUGGACAAGUUGGUGGAUGUUCUUUGUUAACAGUUACCUGAUAACAUAAAACUUAAUAUUUCUACUCAAGCAAGCAAGAACAAUGGAGUAGGAAUCAAACAUUGACAAAAUAACAGAGUCGACAAUAAAUUCAGGAAAUCACAUAUAAUCAGUUCUGAGAUUCGAAAUCAAUUUAACCGUUCCUACUCCAACCACAUUAUUACCAACUGAAAGACUCACAGUCUCAAAACUUUUAAAAUAAAAAAAGGUCCCGACAAUUCUUGAAUCCUAAAUGGUCAUCAACAACGAGCUUCAAUGUCUGUAAGUUGAUUUCAGGUCAAAGCAAACAAGGAAAUACAAUUGACAAAAUAACAUAGCAGACAUAAAUUCAAGAAAUGGCAUAUAAUCAGUACAUAUUAAUCCUAAAUUCCGAAAUUCAAAAUCAAUUCCUGCUUAACCACAUUGCCAGUUGAAAACACUCAGACUCCAAAUUCUUAAAAUAAAAGAAGCAUCGGAUACUUCUUGAAUUAGCAUAAAUGGCCAGCAACAACGAGCUUAAAUUUUUGUGACUUGAAUUUAGGGUUUCGGCGAGAACUACAAACAUGGACCUAUUUUCAAGUCAAAGCAAACAAGGAAGUCAUAAUUGAAGCCUAAAUCGUUCAACUCUAUGGUCUCAAUAGCCAAUUUGAGAUUCUAAGCUCAUAAAUCCAAUUAAAAAUGCUGAAAAUGCAUCUAAAUUAAAACAUCAAACAAAAUGCGCAGCAAGAUGCAAUCAAAUUUCAUUAGCAAGACAUAGAGAACGCAAAUCUACACCUUACUUAAGCAUAGAAAAAGCAGAAGAAGGAAAACCAGACUGCUACUGCAGGAAUUAGUUAAGCGGGGAAGGCAAAAACAGGCAAUUAAAAAUUUAUCAAAGGAAUUUUCUUUUUUUCCUGGGAGUGGGUGGUUUGGGCGGGAGGGCUGGACUU